GCAUGGCAGACGGGUGAGUAACGCGUGGGGAAUCUACCUCUUUGUGGGGAAUAACGCUCCGAAAGGAGUGGUAAUACCGCAUGAGAUCCAUGGCUGGGAUGCUGUGGAUGAAACCUGGGGACCGCAAGGCCUGGGGCAAGGAGAGGAUCCUGCGUCUGAUUAGCUAGUUGGUGAGGUAAUGGCCCACCAAGGCGACGAUCAGUAGCCGGCCUGAGAGGGUGAUCGGCCACACUGGAACUGAGACACGGUCCAGACUCCUACGGGAGGCAGCAGUGGGGAAUUUUGCGCAAUGGGCGAAAGCCUGACGCAGCAACGCCGCGUGGGUGAUGAAGGUCUUCGGAUCGUAAAACCCUGUCGUCGGGGACGAAGGUGGAGGGGUUAAUAGCCUCUUUGCUUGACGGUACCCGGAGAGGAAGCCCCGGCUAACUCUGUGCCAGCAGCCGCGGUAAUACAGAGGGGGCAAGCGUUAUUCGGAAUUAUUGGGCGUAAAGGGCGCGUAGGCGGCUUUUUAAGUGAGAUGUGUAAUCCCUGAGCUCAACUUGGGAACUGCAUCUCAUACUGGGAGGCUAGAGUACUGGAGAGGGUGGUAGAAUUCCACGUGUAGCGGUGAAAUGCGUAGAGAUGUGGAGGAAUACCAGUGGCGAAGGCGGCCACCUGGACAGUAACUGACGCUGAGGCGCGAAAGUGUGGGUAGCAAACAGGAUUAGAUACCCUGGUAGUCCACACUGUAAACGAUGAACACUUG
rnacentral:rRNA from 1 species